rnacentral:rRNA from 1 species
GAUGAACGCUGGCGGCGUGCUUAACACAUGCAAGUCGAACGGUGAAGCCAAGCUUGCUUGGUGGAUCAGUGGCGAACGGGUGAGUAACACGUGAGCAACCUGCCCUGGACUCUGGGAUAAGCGCUGGAAACGGUGUCUAAUACUGGAUAUGAGACGUGAUCGCAUGGUCGUGUUUGGAAAGAUUUUUCGGUCUGGGAUGGGCUCGCGGCCUAUCAGCUUGUUGGUGAGGUAAUGGCUCACCAAGGCGUCGACGGGUAGCCGGCCUGAGAGGGUGACCGGCCACACUGGGACUGAGACACGGCCCAGACUCCUACGGGAGGCAGCAGUGGGGAAUAUUGCACAAUGGGCGAAAGCCUGAUGCAGCAACGCCGCGUGAGGGAUGACGGCCUUCGGGUUGUAAACCUCUUUUAGCAGGGAAGAAGCGAAAGUGACGGUACCUGCAGAAAAAGCGCCGGCUAACUACGUGCCAGCAGCCGCGGUAAUACGUAGGGCGCAAGCGUUAUCCGGAAUUAUUGGGCGUAAAGAGCUCGUAGGCGGUUUGUCGCGUCUGCUGUGAAAUCCCGAGGCUCAACCUCGGGCCUGCAGUGGGUACGGGCAGACUAGAGUGCGGUAGGGGAGAUUGGAAUUCCUGGUGUAGCGGUGGAAUGCGCAGAUAUCAGGAGGAACACCGAUGGCGAAGGCAGAUCUCUGGGCCGUAACUGACGCUGAGGAGCGAAAGGGUGGGGAGCAAACAGGCUUAGAUACCCUGGUAGUCCACCCCGUAAACGUUGGGAACUAGUUGUGGGGACCAUUCCACGGUUUCCGUGACGCAGCUAACGCAUUAAGUUCCCCGCCUGGGGAGUACGGCCGCAAGGCUAAAACUCAAAGGAAUUGACGGGGACCCGCACAAGCGGCGGAGCAUGCGGAUUAAUUCGAUGCAACGCGAAGAACCUUACCAAGGCUUGACAUAUACGAGAACGGGCCAGAAAUGGUCAACUCUUUGGACACUCGUAAACAGGUGGUGCAUGGUUGUCGUCAGCUCGUGUCGUGAGAUGUUGGGUUAAGUCCCGCAACGAGCGCAACCCUCGUUCUAUGUUGCCAGCACGUAAUGGUGGGAACUC